CCUCCUUCCUGCUUGCAAACAAAGGCGGCGGGAGGGAGGGAGGUUCGAGCGGAAGCUUCUCGGGAGUCGCUGAGGCAGUGUGAAGGUGACGCAGUCUUUGUGCUGCCCUUGCACACACAAAGGGAAAGGGAAAAGGGUGACGUGGAUUCAGGUAUGAAUGUUUUAGGCAAGACAAAUAUGUUGGUGCAUGUGCGUCUCCGCUUGCUGCUUGCCAAACUGCAGAUGCGAAACAAGGUACUGGAAUGGGAAGAUCGGCCUCUGGUUUCAGCUCCACCACUUGCUGUGUGACCAGAGUGUCGGCUCCUUGGUGGUUUCUCGGAUUCGCAAUCUUGAGCACAACAUUUGGGGGCUUGUCCGGGAUCCGAGAGACCCCCAGGACCUCACCCAGAGGGUCCCACACCUGGUAAGUGCACUCAACUUUUCUACCUUUUGCACGCAUAUUUUCUGAGAGCUCCAUGCUGUAUUUCUACCUGUAGGAAUUCCAGACAAUUAGGUCGACAUUGGCUUAGGCAGACGCGCUGGUCGACGGGGGUCUUGGGAGACGUCCCUUGCCCCUGCCAGAAGGACGAAAUCCUCAUCUGUGAGGAGGGCCAACUGCCAUUACGGACAGCCAGCCCUUCAGGUUAAGGCCUUGAUCUUCAGGGACAAACCGGAUGGCCACUCUGACCAGGUGCCCUACAUCCUGAUCUGGCAGGACAUGAUCGAGAACCCCCUCCUUGGCUAAAACCAUUUUUACCUCCCAAAGCAGGACCUACCAAGAUUCUAGCCCUGCGGAAAGCGGAGAAGGAGACUGACUCUAAGAUCAAAACGCCCCUUUAUUGGGUCUUGCAGGAUUCCUCUCCGGAGGACCUGAUCCUCCCGCUGUCCUACUGGGCACCCCCUCCCCCUUCCGCCCCUCCAUUGGAGGCACCGGGGGCUGCAGAAGGGGCGCCACCCCUCCCUGACGAGGGAGUCCCUGUGCACGCUAGCCGCAGGGACAUGCUGAUGGACCCACCGGCAGGCCCACCUCCAAAUGUGGGGCCAGCCGACUCCACCUCCCUUCCCCUCUGCGCCAUGGGGCCUCCCGAGACUGGAGAACAACCAAUGCUAUAUUGGCCGUUCUCCAUCAGUGAUUUAUCUAAUUGGAGAACCCAAAAUGCAAAGUUCUCUGAUGACCCGAAAGAUCUAAUCGGCCUUUUAAAUACUGUUCUCUUUACCCAGCCUACUUGGGAGGACUGCCAACAGCUCUUGCAGGUUCUCUUCACCACCGAAGAGAGAGAACGAACUCAGGCGGAAGCCCAGAAGUCUGUCCUGGGAGAGGACAGACAGCCAACUCAAAACCCAGACCUUAUAAACGCUGCCUUCCCCUUAUCCUGCCCUACCUGGGACUACAACUCAGCUGAAGGUAAGGAGAGACUCCGGGUCCACCGCCAGACUCUAAUGGCAGGUCUCCAGCCUGCCGCGUGCAAACCUACCAAUCUGGCCAAGGUCUAUGAUGUAAGACAGGGUAAGGAUGAGAGUUCAGCAGCCCUCUUAGAGAGAAUCAUAGAGGCUUUUAGGCAGUACAACCCUAUGAACCCAUAAGCCCCAGAAACAAAGGCCACAAUUAUCAUGGCUUUUGUUAACCAGGCCGCUCUAACAAUUACAGGCCAGUCCAGGACUUAAGGGAGGUCAACCAGCGAGUAGAGGAUAUGCACCCUACGGUCCCAAACCCAUACACCCUCCUUUCCACCUUGCCUCCAGGAAAAAUUGGUAUACGGUAUUAGAUUUAAAAGACGCCUUUUUCAGCCUGACUUUAGCACCCAAGAGCCAAGACCUUUUCACCUUUGAAUGGACGGACCCCAGAAAGGCAUCAAUGGCCAGCUCACCUGGACUACCACAAGGAUUCAAAAAUUCACCGACCAUCUUCGAUGAGGCUUUACACGAAGACUUGGGUGAGUUCCGUUCCGAACACCCUCAUUUGACCUUAUUGCAUUAUGUAGAUGAUAUCCUGUUGGUGACAGAGGACCGGGACACAUGCCUGCGAGGCACCAAGGACUUGCUCCAGACAAUAGCAGCUCUGGGAUACCAGGCCUCAGCUAAAAAAGCCCAGAUCUGCAGAGCAGAGGUGAGCUACCUAGGGUACAAAUUAAAGGAUGGACAAAGAUGGUUGACAGAUGCAUGGAAGUAAACCGUCCUAAGGAUCCCACAGCUGCAACCCAUCCGCCAGGUAUGUGAAUUCCUGGGGUCAGCAGGGUUCUGUCGAUUAUGGAUUCUGGGUUUUGCCGAGAUGGCCAGACCCCUCUAUGAGGCCACCAAGCACCAGCAAAAUUUUGAAUGGACAGAGGCCAUGAACAAAGUCUUUAAUGACCUUAAACAGGCCUUGCUGUCUGCCCCAGCUCUGGGUUGCCCAACCUAACCAAGCCCUUCUACCUGUAUGUGGAUGAGAAAUACGGGUUGCAAAAGGGGUCCUUGUCCAGUACAUAGGUCCCUGGAAGAGACCCAUAGACUAUCUCUCCAAAAAGCUGGACACGGUGGCCACUAGAUGGCCCCCAUGCUUAAAAAUUAUUGCCGCGGUGGCCACUAUGGUCAAGGACACAGACAAACUGGCCAUGGGGCAAGAACUACAUGUUACCACCCCACAUGCUAUUGAAGGGGUACUCAAACAGCCCCCAGACAGCUGGAUCAGCAAUGCCCAUCUGACCCAUUAUCAGACCCUACUGCUAAACCUCACCAGAAUUUUAUUCAAGCCACCGACAACCCUGAAUCCGGCAACGCUACUCCCUAACCCAGACUGGGACCCCCCCUCUGCAUGACUGUGAAGAAAUUUUGGCACAGGUGCACGGAAUCAGAGCUGAUCUCCAGGACCAGCCACUGCCGAAUGCGGAUGCCACCUGGUACAUGGACGGCAGCAGUUGCGGAGAAGGAAUCAGAUACGUGGGGGCAGCCGUAACCACGGAAACAGAGACCGUCUGGGCAGAGCCAUUGGCAGCCGGAACAUCGGCUCAACGGGCAGAACUGACCACACUGGCCAAGGCGCUGACCAUGGGAGAAGGUAAAUGAAUCAACAUCUACACCGACAGCAGGUACGCCUUCGCCACCGCUCACAUCCACGGAGCCCUUUACAGAGAGAAAGGGCUUCUGACAGCAGAGGGAGAGACUAUUAAAAAUAAAACAGAGAUUCUUGAACUCCUGAGGGCCCUCUGGCUGCCAAGGCACUAGCUAUCAUCCAUUGUCCAGGACACCAGAGAGCAGACACACCAGUAGCCGGGGGAAACCAGCUAGCCGAUUCAAAAGCAAAGGAGGUGGCCCUUUUUCGGUGACUCAGAUCUUAACAACCACGCUACCUGAUCCGGGGGCACUGACCCUGCUGGACACCCCCAACUAUACUGAUGCUGACUUACACUGGAUCAAACGCUUGCCUAUGACCCAGUGCUUGCGUGGCUGGUGAAGGGCCACAGACUCCAGCAUCAUCCUGCCAGAGGAACUAGGACGGCGAGUCCUAUCCAAGAUGCAUCGGAGUACUCAUAUGGGAACAAGGAAGAUGGAAGACCUCAUACGACAUGCAAAGAUCACUAUUACAGACUCUCGAGCAAAGAUAGAGCAGAUUGUGGCAAGCUGCCAUGCAUGCCAGCUAACCAACGCUACCGCCCAUGGGUCUAACCCCGGAACCUGACUCAGGGGAGACCGCACAGGAGCAUACUGGGGAGUAGAUUUCACUGAGGUAAGGCCUGGAAGGUAUGGAUACAAGUACUUGCUAGUUUUUAUAGAUACCUCUUCAGGGUGGACAGAGGCGUUCCUCACCAAACACGAAACAGCACAUAUCGUGACCAAAAAGCUGCUGGAGGACAUUCUGCCACGGUAUGGAUUUCCUUCCAGGAUCAGAUCCAACAAUGGACCAGGGUUCAUUUUUAAGGUAACACAGAGAGUAGCACAAAUACUGGGGGCAGAUUGGAAAUUACAUUGUGGUUACAGACCCCAGAGCUCUGGUCAAGUAGAAAGGAUGAAUAGGACAUUAAAAGAGACCUUAACUAAAUUAGCCUUGGAGACCGGCGGGGUCUGGGUGAAUCUCCUCCCCUUUGCCCUAUAUAGGGUGAGGAACUCACCAUAUAAGAUGGGACUGACUCCCUAUGAAAUCAUGUUUGGUAUACCCCCACUUAUCAUUCCUACCCUGAAACCCAAAGUGCUUGCUGAGUUCAAUGACCAAAAACUUCUUUUCUCCCUCCAAAUGUUACAAAGAGCCCAUGAGCAGCUAUGGACUAAGUUGAGGGCCCUCUACGAGACUGGGCCACCCCCUGACCCCCAUCAGUAUCGACCAGGCAAUUGGGUAUACUUGCGGGAUCAACAGCAGACACUCCAACCUCGCUGGAAAGGACCCUACAUUGUGAUCAUGACCACUCCCACCGCUCUCAAGGUCCACGGAAUAACUCCCUGGGUCCACUACACCCACGUCCAGCCAGCUGAUCCACAUGCUGUCCUUAAGGACUUUGUUCCAGAAUGGAAGAGUCAGCCUGACAAGGACAAUCCCCUAAAGCUAAGACUGAGUCGUUCCCACUUACCCUGCUAAUAUUACUUGCACUGUAUCCCCUCACGGCUGAAACUAACCCCCACUCACCAUAAAAUCUGACAUGGAUAGUUCAUAACACAGCCACGGGAGAAAUUUUAAAUGUCAAGAUCGGGUUGCAUCCACCCGGGACUUGGUUUCCCUCUUUAAUUUUUGACUUAGUUAAACUCCUUCAACUGACCUGGGACAGGGCUUUCAUUAGUCAGCACCAUUUUUAUGGCUGCCUGGGACACACCAGGAAAAAGGCCCAACAAUGUGGGGGCGCCAGCAGUUACUAUUGCUCCUCAUGGAACUGCAUCUCCACUGGCCACACCUGGUGGGAUCCCCCAAUAAGGGAUGACCUGAUAUCAGUCAAACUAAUUGGCCCUAUAGGCCAAUGCUCUAAAAUAGGCUCUAAACACAGCAAGGAUACCUGCAAUCUGGUAAACAUUACCUUCACUCCUAAAGGACAGGCAGAGACAAGUUGGAAUACUGGAUGCUUUUGAGGAAUAAGACUUUAUGAAAAAACCAGAAUCUUCCCCAGAGAUCUCGGGGCGAUAUUUGGAAUCAGACUUGAGCAGCGACCCACUGCUCGGGGUUAGACCCCCGACUAACCCAAUUGCCUUAGGUCCAAACAAUUUGCUAGUGCCUCCUCAGGCAAUAUCUACAGCACCCCUUUGAAUUCAUCCCACAACCCCUCCAGUUGAGGCACCCCAGUCCCGGCUCGCCUUCCCGUGCACCCCACUCCCCUGCCCCUCAACCCCUCUCAACACCCUCUUUGGGCCCUGGUGUCCCAGACUUACAAAUUCCUCAACACAACUAAACCCAAUCUAACCCAAUCCUGCUGGCUGUGCUAUGACAUCCGGCCCCCCUUCUAUGAAGGAAUUGCAAUAAUGGGUCAACAUAACACAACCACGGACCCUAAUGCUUGCAUGUGGAACCAAAAGCCUGGUUGGUAGUAAAGGCCUCACCUUACAAUCCAUGUCAAGCCAGGAGCUCUGCAUAGGCACUCCUCCACGCCACUACCAGAUUCUGUGCAAUGUUACACAGCCUAUAAACAGUACCGGGUAUCAUCUACCGCCCCAAGACAGUUGGUGGGCCUGUUCCAAGGGAUUAACUCCCUGCGCUCACGGACAGGUUAUAAACAGAACUGGGGGCUUCUGUGUGCUGGUUCAACUACUCCCUAGAAUCGUCUACCAUUCAGAUGAGCAGGUACUUCAAUGGAUGGACCUGGGUACCCACGGGUAAAAUAAAUGAGAGCCCAUCUCUGCUGUCACCAUCGCCACCCUACUAGGAAUUGGUUUGGCUGGUGCAGGAACAGGUAUUGCCUCACUGGCCACUCAGGCUUCCCACUACAGUAGCCUUAGGGCUGCCAUUGAUGUAGACGUAGAGCACAUAGAGACCUCCAUUUCCCACCUCCAAGGAUCUUUAACAUCUUUAUCUGAAGUGGUGCUCCAAAACAGGAGGGGGUUAGACCUAAUUUUUCUACAGCAAGGGGGAAUCUGUGCUGCCCUGAACCAAGAAUGCUGUUUCUACACUGACCACUCAGGGAUAGUCCGAGAAUCGAUGGCAACGGUCAGGGAAGGACUGGCAGGUGAAAACGAGAGCGAGAGCAGCAACAGGGGUGGUUCAAAUCCUGGUUCGAUCAUUCCCCCUGGCUAACUACCCUAUUGUCCUCCCUAGCCGGCCCCCUCAUCCUCCUCCUCCUCCUUCUGACCUUUGGACCCUGCCUCAUUAAUAGACUAGUGGCUUUUGUCAGGGACCGGGUUAACACCGUUCAACCCCUGGUGCUAAGGCAACAAUACCAACCACUGAACUUUCAGGACCCAUGAUUGGGUCCUGCAUUGGGUUCCUCUGAAAAAGGGGGGAAUGUGGGACCCAAGAAAUUCAAAAAAUGUCCCCCACCCCUGGCCCCUAGAUAAGCACGCCCUGCAGCCUGUAGCCCAAGUCAGUUCCAAGAAAAACUGCAGAGCAUGCCCCAUAUCUGAAUGAGGAACUAAGAGCUUGAGAAACUCCCCCACCCUUACUGGAAAUCCCCUAGACCAGCCCCUAAAAAUCCACCUGUAACCCACCUCAGGGUCCAAGUCCCUGCUCUGCUGUGAUGGGUAUACUUGGACCAAAGCUCGAGCUUGCUAAUAAACCCUCGUGUGCUUGCAUCAGUGUCGGCUCCUUGGUGGUUUCUUGGAUUCGCGAUCUUGGGCACAACACCCCCCAAACCCAACUGUAUUUACUAAACUGUUCUUCCAUCCAGUUAACUAGCAUUUUAUUUAGCAUUUACUAUUCACUAUAGGGCAGCCCCUGUAUGUUGGGUUAGGAAUGGAAAUUCUUGAUAAGACUCUGUGAUCUUAAUUUCCAGUCACCACUGCUGGCCCUGAAAAUAGGUAAAACCUCCAUGGAGGAAAAUCUGGCAAUGUCUCUCAAAAUGAUGCAUAUAUUUUUUCACCCAAAAACCAUACCUCUGGGAUUGUACCAUUCUUGAAUAUGUACAAAAUGGCAUAUGACAGGGAUUUGCAGCAGCCAGUUUGUAGUACAAAAGACUAGGAGCAAUCUGAGUGAUCAACACCAGGAAUGAAUUACAGUGCAUUAUUCUAUCUGAUGGUAAAACCAAAUGAAAAUGCUCUUUUUCAUAAUAACAGUAGCUAGUAUUUCUUGCUUACUGGGUAACAUCCAAGUUAUAGCCAGGUAAUGUCCUAACAGAUUCCUUAGAUACAUCCAGUUAUUUAAUCUUUAUAACAAUGAGUUAAAUUACUAUAAGGCCUGUUUUAUAGAUUAUAAAACAGGGAUUCAGAGAGGUUGAGUACAUUGCCUGAGGUUGCACAGCUAAUAAGUAGUGAAAAUAUAAUUUUUUAAAAAAAAAUCUAGCUUCAGAAUCUAUUUUUGUAAUCACUGUGUAUUAUCAGGCCUCUCCAGGUAUAGCUAUGUGAUGAUUUCCAAGAUCUAUUGGCAAAUGCAAAAACUAAGGUUCAGGAUAUUGUGCAAGAAACCUUUGUACAUGUAUGUUUAUGCAAUUGUAAAAUAUCUCUUGAAGGAUACUAGAUAAACUGCCAUGGAUGAAGGGAGGAUCUUUUCAAGUAACUUUUAUGCUCUUUGAAUUUUAAAUCA